rnacentral:rRNA from 1 species
UACAGAGACUGCAAGCGUUAUUCGGAUUCACUGGGCGUAAAGGGUGCGCAGGCGGCCAACUAAGUCAGACGUGAAAUCCCUCAGCUUAACUGGGGAACUGCGUCUGAUACUGGAUGGCUUGAGUGUGGGAGAGGAAUGCGGAAUUCCAGGUGUAGCGGUGAAAUGCGUAGAUAUCCGGAGGAACACCGGUGGCGAAGGCGGCAUUCUGGACCAUAACUGACACUGAGAGACGAAAGCCAGGGGAGCAAACGGG